rnacentral:rRNA from 1 species
GACGAACGCUGGCGGCGUGCUUAACACAUGCAAGUCGAACGGAAAGGCCCUGUCUUUGUGGGGUGAUCGAGUGGCGAACGGGUGAGUCACCCGUGCGUAACCUGCCCUUGACUUUGGGAUAACUUCAGGUAACUGGGUAUAAUACCGGAUAGGAGCUUCUGCUGCAUGGUGGGGGUUGGAAAGUUUCGGCGGUUGGGGAUGGACGGGCGGGUUAUCAGCUUGUUGGUGGGGUAGUGGCAGACCAAGGAAUUGACGGGUAGGCGGCAUGAGAGGGUGGCCGGGGACAAGGGGACUGAGGGAGGGCGCAGACGCCAACUGGAGACAGCAGUGGGAAGUAUUGCACAGUGGUCGGAAGUCUGAGACAACAGCGCUGCGGUCGUGAUGACGGCCUGCGAGGUGUAAACCGCUGUCGGCUGAUACGGAGCGUUAGUGACGGUAAUGGGUAAAUAAGCACCGGCUAACUACGUG